rnacentral:rRNA from 1 species
UGGAGUAUGUGGUUAAUUCGAUGCAACGCGAAGAACCUUACCUGGUCUUGACAUCCCGGAGACCCUUAGGAAACUAGGGGUGCUUCCAUCUGGAAGAAUCUGGAGACAGGUGCUGCAUGGCUGUCGUCAGCUCGUGUCGUGAGAUGUUGGGUUAAGUCCCGCAACGAGCGCAACCCUUGCCUUUAGUUGCCAGCAGUUCGGCUGGGCACUCUAAAGGGACUGCCGGUGUUAAACCGGAGGAAGGUGGGGAUGACGUCAAGUCCUCAUGGCCUUUAUGACCAGGGCUACACACGUACUACAAUGGCCGAUACAAAGGGCAGCGACACUGCGAGGUGAAGCCAAUCCCGUAAAAUCGGUCUCAGUCCGGAUUGGAGUCUGCAACUCGACUCCAUGAAGUUGGAAUCGCUAGUAAUCGUGGAUCAGCAUGCCACGGUGAAUACGUCCGGCGU